UACGUAGGGGGCAAGCGUUGUCCGGAUUUAUUGGGCGUAAAGAGCGUGUAGGCGGCCAGGUAGGUCCGUUGUGAAAACUCGAGGCUCAACCUCGAGACGCCGAUGGAAACCAUCUGGCUAGAGUCCGGAAGAGGAGAGUGGAAUUCCCGGUGUAGCGGUGAAAUGCGCAGAUAUCGGGAAGAACACCCGUGGCUAAGGCGGCUCUCUAGUACGGUACUGACGCUGAGACGCGAAAGCGUGGGGAGCGAACGAGG
rnacentral:rRNA from 1 species